AACUCACAAAACCCACACAAGGGGGAUCGAUCGAACAAGGCAGGAGGAGGGGGAAACCCUAAACUCAAGAAAUCAAGCAAUUGAAGCCUAAAAUCAUAAGAAAAUCCAGUGCAUGAGCCCUCUUAUCGAUCAUCUAAGCAUACCUAGUGAAGUGCUUGAAAGAAUAAGAACCAUGUCAAGAUGGACCAACUCAUGGGAAGCAAACGGGUCAAAGAGGAGGCAAAGAAACUAGCAUAAUCAUGGCGAGCACAAGGUUUAUGAAUGUCGGACUUUCAAAGUGUUGAUAUAGUAAUGAAAUGAUUGAGUGUUGGAAGAUAAUCGGGUUGAAGUAACUUAAGCGGUUAGAAUAUGCUAUGGACGUUUUAGUUUAUACAAUAUUUUAUGUUUGGUCGUCACCACCUACUAACAGGUAAACCCUCAAUUCAGGCGACUUGGAGAAUCGGAGCGAGCGCGUGUUCAUGUUAUGUCGUACCAAACGCUUCCGCUAGCUUGUUCGAAUGUUUUUAGUCAAAAAUUUUUUGUAUUGGUUCUUAGUAGUAUUUUGUCGAAUGAAUCGUAGAAUUGUAACUAGUUUGAUUAUGUUUAAAACAGGGGUAUGCUCGUUUUAUGGACGGGUCAUGCCCAAUUUUUGUUAAAUUAUAGUAUGAUAAUAUCACAUUCAGGCAGAUGAAAUUUUGGGCGUAACACUUAUACAACAUUCUAGUCCCCAGAGAGGAAGAAAUAUUUGAAGAAACCAUUCAAAGAGGGGGAUCUUUAGCUCUUAUCUCAAACUCACAAAGAACACCACUUACCAAUGAUCCACAACCUUCAAACAGUCAAAAUCUUGAAAUUUCUGAUGCAUCAUCAGAUUUUUCAGCUUUUGCUGAAGCAAUAGCACUGCUCACCAAAACAUUUGAGCAGAGGUUGAGGGGAGGAGGCCAAAGAUACCA